rnacentral:tRNA from 1 species
UGGGAGUUAGUUUAAUAGGUAAAACAUUGGAUCUUGGUUCCAAUAAUACGGGUUCGAGCCCCUUACUCCUAU